rnacentral:lncRNA from 1 species
AUGCAAUUGAAUAUUUGGUCAAACUACUGCCAUAUUCUUCCUUCAAGUCACUAUGCUAUGAAGAGGCAUGCACCGUGCAUAGAACAGAGCCAUCUGUACCCUUUCAGAUGCAAGAUCAGCUGUGGGCACAAUUUAGAAAUGGCAUUGGAGUGGUAGGAGUUGAGAAAGGUUGUACUCCUUUGUCCUGUAAUCUAUGAUGUGACAUAUGGAAUGCCAAGAAUAGACUGUCUGCAGUCCACUUUGUAAAUCUGGUUCAUAGGCACAAAUUUUCUCUGAGUUGGGAAGGAAUCUUGGAAAGGAUCACUUCUACAGUUCCAUCAUUGAAUUCAUCAUCAUUGUCCCAGAGAAGCAGCGAUCAGUGAGAUGUGGCUCAUGGGCUAGGCAUUGGCAAGUUUGCUUUUGGUAGAAGAUCGACUAGUGUGUGUGUGUGUUACGGUUACACUUUGUAAAUAAUUACAGAUAUGAUAAGUUUUAUAUAGAUUAUAAAAAUGAUCUAUUGUAUUCACAUUUUAUGAAGAAUAAAAAAGAUGUAUGAAGAUUUUUUUUUUUAUGC